GGAAGUAAAAGUCGUAAUAAGGUUUCCGUAGGUGAACCUGCGGAAGGAUCAUUAUUGUAUAACCGAGGUGCGAGGGCUGUCGCUGACCCGAAAGGUCGUGCACGCCCGAGUGCCCUCACACACAUCCAUCUCACCCCUAUGUGCACCACCGCGUGGGUCCCCCUUUGGCUUGUUCGGAGGGGGGCUUACGUUUUCACACAAACUUUGUAUGCAGUGUAGAAUGUAUUUUUUGUUCUUGCGAUCACGCAAUCAAUACAACUUUCAACAACGGAUCUCUUGGCUCUC
rnacentral:misc_RNA from 1 species